rnacentral:rRNA from 1 species
GACGAACGCUGGCGGCGUGCUUAACACAUGCAAGUCGAACGAUGAAGCUAGAGCUUGCUCUGGUGAAUUAGUGGCGAACGGGUGAGUAACACGUGAGUAACCUGCCCCGAACUCUGGGAUAACUCCGGGAAACCGGGGCUAAUACCGGAUAACAUUUUGAACCGCAUGGUUCGAAAUUGAAAGGCGGCUUCGGCUGUCACUUAUGGAUGGACCCGCGUCGCAUUAGCUAGUUGGUGAGGUAACGGCUCACCAGGGCAACGAUGCGUAGCCGACCUGAGAGGGUGCUCGGCCACCCUGGGACUGAGACACGGCCCAGACUCCUACGGGAGGCAGCAGUAGGGAAUCUUCCGCAAUGACGAAAGUCUGACGGAGCAACGCCGCGUGAGUGAUGAAGGCUUUCGGGUCGUAAAACUCUGUUGUUAGGGAAGAACAAGUGCUAGUUGAAUAAGCUGGCACCUUGACGGUACCUAACCAGAAAGCCACGGCUAACUACGUGCCAGCAGCCGCCGUAA